AAAGAAAUCAACCGAGAUUCCCCCAGUAGCGGCGAGCGAACGGGGAGGAGCCCAGAGCCUGAAUCAGUGUGUGUGUUAGUGGAAGCGUCUGGAAAGGCGCGCGAUACAGGGUGACAGCCCCGUACACAAAAAUGCACAUACUGUGAGCUCGAUGAGUAGGGCGGGACACGUGGUAUCCUGUCUGAAUAUGGGGGGACCAUCCUCCAAGGCUAAAUACUCCUGACUGACCGAUAGUGAACCAGUACCGUGAGGGAAAGGCGAAAAGAACCCCGGCGAGGGGAGUGAAAAAGAACCUGAAACCGUGUACGUACAAGCAGUGGGAGCCUCUUUAUGGGGUGACUGCGUACCUUUUGUAUAAUGGGUCAGCGACUUAUAUUCUGUAGCAAGGUUAACCGAAUAGGGGAGCCGAAGGGAAACCGAGUCUUAACUGGGCGUUAAGUUGCAGGGUAUAGACCCGAAACCCGGUGAUCUAGCCAUGGGCAGGUUGAAGGUUGGGUAACACUAACUGGAGGACCGAACCGACUAAUGUUGAAAAAUUAGCGGAUGACUUGUGGCUGGGGGUGAAAGGCCAAUCAAACCGGGAGAUAGCUGGUUCUCCCCGAAAGCUAUUUAGGUAGCGCCUCGUGAAUUCAUCUCCGGGGGUAGAGCACUGUUUCGGCAAGGGGGUCAUCCCGACUUACCAACCCGAUGCAAACUGCGAAUACCGGAGAAUGUUAUCACGGGAGACACACGGCGGGUGCUAA
rnacentral:rRNA from 1 species